AUGAGAAAAUCUACGGUCAUAGCUAAAACAGAUUGUAAAGUCGUCAUGGUCAUAUCAGAAAAAGGAGGCAUGUGGGAAAUCACAAGACAAGAACUAGAACACAACCAUGAGUUAACACCAAACAGUAGAUUCUUCAGGUCGCAUAAGUACAUGUCGGAUGAAGAGAAGUGCUUGAUAAGGGUGCUGAAGCAUACAAACCUGGAAACAAGAAGGAUUGUAGCUGUCUUGGCUUACUUGAGAGGAGGAAUGGCUCAUCUUCCCUACACAAAGAAACAUGUCACAAACUAUGCAGCAACAAUUAACAGAGACAUCGCAAACUCUGACAUGAUGGAAGUAGUGCAAAUGUUCAACAAGAAACAAACAGAAAAUCCUGGCUUUUGCUACUCGUUUGAGCUAGAUGGAGAGAAUAAAGUGAGGAGCUUAUUCUGGACAGAUGUGAGGUCAAGAAUGAUGUAUGACAUAUGUGGAGACUACAUCAGUUUUGACACUACAUUCCUAACAAACAAGUACAACUUGCCAUUUGCACCCUUUGUUGGCAUAUCCCCACAUGGCAACACAUACUUGUUUGCUUGUGCAUUCAUCAUCAAUGAGACAAAAACAACAUUUGCUUGGUUGUUUGGAAAAUUCCUGAUGGCUAUGGGAGGAAAGCAUCCUAUAUCAAUCAUUACAGACCAGGACAAGGCAAUGCAAGCAGCAAUUGAAAAAGUUUUUCCUAAUGCUACCCAUAGGAGCUGCCUCUUCCACAUAAAGAAGAAAGCAUAGGAAAAAGUUGGGCCCUGCUUCCAAGCUAAUGAGGGACUCUAUGAAGAUUUCCAGGACAUUGUGGACAACUCCUUGACAGUUGAAGAAUUUGAAACACAAUGGCCAGAAAUGAUAGAAAAAUACCAAGUUCAUCACAUCAAGUACUUUAAUGACAUGUGGGAAAAUAGGAAAAAGUUCAUCCCAGUGUACUUCAAGGAUAGAUUCUUCCCAUCAUACAAACUACAACAAGAAGCGAAGGGACAAACGCCCUUUUCAAAAAAGGGGUUGGAGCUAAAUUUAGUGCUACAAGCUUUUUGA
rnacentral:rRNA from 1 species